rnacentral:rRNA from 1 species
AUUGAACGCUGGCGGCAGGCCUAACACAUGCAAGUCGAGCGGAUGAAGGGAGCUUGCUCCUGGAUUCAGCGGCGGACGAGUGAGUAAUGCCUAGGAAUCUGCCUGGUAGUGGGGGAUAACGUCCGGAAACGGGCGCUAAUACCGCAUACGUCCUGAGGGAGAAAGGGGGGGAUCUUCGGACCUCACGUUAUCAGAUGAGCCUAGGGCGGAUUAGCUAGUUGGUGGGGUAAAGGCCUACCAAGGCGACGAUCCGUAACUGGUCUGAGAGGAUGAUCAGUCACACUGAAACUGAGACACGGUCCAGACUCCUACGGGAGGCAGCAGUGGGGAAUAUUGGACAAUGGGCGAAAGCCUGAUCCAGCCAUGCCGCGUGUGUGAAGAAGGUCUUCGGAUUGUAAAGCACUUUAAGUUGGGAGGAAGGGCAGUAAGUUAAUACCUUGCUGUUUUGACGUUACCAACAGAAUAAGCACCGGCUAACUUCGUG